rnacentral:misc_RNA from 1 species
CGUAGGUGAACCUGCGGAGGGAUCAGUUACACAAAUAUGAAGGCGGGCUGGAACCUCUCGGGGUUACAGCCUUGCUGAAUUAUUCACCCUUGUCUUUUGCGUACUUCUUGUUUCCUUGGUGGGUUCGCCCACCACUAGGACAAACAUAAACCUUUUGUAAUUGCAAUCAGCGUCAGUAACAAAUUAAUAAUUACAACUUUCAACAACGGAUCUCUUGGUUCUGGCAUCGAUGAAGAACGCAGCGAAAUGCGAUAAGUAGUGUGAAUUGCAGAAUUCAGUGAAUCAUCGAAUCUUUGAACGCACAUUGCGCCCUUUGCGUAUUCCAAAGGGCAUGCCUGUUCGAGCGUCAUUUGUACCCUCAAGCUUUGCUUGGUGUUGGGCGUCUUGUCUCUAGCUUUGCUGGAGACUCGCCUUAAAGUAAUUGGCAGCCGGCCUACUGGUUUCGGAGCGCAGCACAAGUCGCACUCUCUAUCAGCAAAGGUCUAGCAUCCAUUAAGCCUUUUUUUCAACUUUUGACCUCGGAUCAGGUAGGGAUACCCGCUGAACUUAAGCAUAUCAAUAAGCGGAGGAAAAGAAACCAACAGGGAUUGCCCUAGUAACUGCGAGAA